GAGAAAUCGAAUAUCGGAAUGCUUGAAGGCCAAGAUAUUCCCCGGCCGCCGCCAUAACCAGUACUGAGUACUGACAGCUCUGUAAUUUAAUUACGUUGGCGUCAAUGCACAGCACCGUCCCUUGAUCCAUCCGUUAUUUCUUCAUUCUUCCAACUCCCCAAUUGUUUCAUCAUAAUCAUACAUUCUCCCCCCGCGGAAUCGUGAUCUCCACCACCGACUACUGCAUUGAAGAUUUUCUGGAUCAUUCCCCCGAUUCCUAAUCUUAGAAUUGGAAGCGGUUACAGAAUGAAAGCGCGUGGUUGUUUUCGUUUGCUGUGGUAAAAUUAGGUCAGAAACAAAGAUGGCAGAGGGCGAAUCGCAGGAGGCCGGUCAAUCGGAGAUUGAUCCAUCUGUCCGGCAAGUAGUUUGCAAUGGCGUUACCAUGAAAACAGAUGAAGUAGAAGCAAAGCUAGACCAAGGAAAUAUCCAAGAUGCUGAAGCUGCAUUUCGAGAUAAAUUAUCUCUCACCUCAGAGGAAGCAAGAGCUCUUCUCGGGAGAUUAGAAUACAAGCGAGGCAAUACUGAUAGUGCAUUGCGAAUAUUCAACGACAUCGAUCUUCAAGCAGCCAUACAACGGCUGCAACAAUCGUUGGGUGAAAGGCAGGGUGGAUCCAAAAGGGGUCGAUCGCGCUCCUCUGAAUCAGUAUCAUCUGGUUCACCAUCACAGCAUAGUACUAACCUUGUGCUCGAUGCCGUGUUUUUGAAAGCCAAGUGUCUUCAGAAACGACGAAAAUUUUCAGAUGCUAUUGAGGAGUGCAAGAGUAUGCUUGAUGUAGUAGAAAAGGCAAUGUCUGAUGGCGCACCUCCGGAUACUUUGGUAGAAACUAAGCUUCAAGAACCUGUCAGCCGAACUAUGGCGCUACUCCCCGAAUUAUUGAUGCAAAUAGGAUCCUUUUCGGAUGGAAUAGAUGCAUACCGUCAAGCGCUGCAAACGCAGUGGAACCUUGAUGAUGAAUGUUUUGCAAGGAUUCAAAAGGGAUUCGCAGUUUUCUUGCUGUAUAGUGGGGUUGAGGCUUCGCCACCGAGCGCCCCUUCGCAGGUUAAUGAUCCAUACAUACCUAAAAACAAUGUGGAAGAGGCGAUUUUACUUUUGAUGAUUCUUAUGAGAAAGUUUUACCAAGGAAAGAUUAAAUGGGAUCCAUCGGUGUUGGAGCACCUUACUUUUGCUCUAUCUCUAUGCAGCCAAACUUUGGUUUUAGCAAAGCAGCUCGAAGAGUUUUUACCAGGAGUGAUACAUCGUAUCGAGCGUUGGAAAACUAUGGCACUGGCUUUUACCGGAGCCGGGCAGAAUAAAUCUGCCUUGGAUCUUCUGAGAAAGACUUUGCAUCCAUAUGAGCAGCCGAAUGAUAUCAUCUCAUCUCUAAUGGCUGCUAAAAUAUGCAGUGAGGAUGCGAGUUUGGCAGCCGAGGGAGUGAAGCAUGCACAAACGGUACUAUCUAAUGUUGAAGCGGGAAAUGCAAGUGCACAUUUUAAAAGUGUUGGCCUCCAUAUGCUUGGUAUUUGCCUUGGAAAGCAGGCGAAAAUCUCUUCUUCUGAUUUUGAACGAUCACAGCUUCAGUCGGGGGCGCUGAAGUCGUUGGAGAGUGCAUUAGCUCUAGAUCCGCAGAACCUAGACCUAAUAUUCAUGCUGGGGAUCCAAUAUGCCGAGCAUAGAAAUCUUGAUGCAGCUUUGCGAUACGCCAAGUUGUAUUUAGAUGCAACCGGAGGAUCUAUGAUAAAAGGGUGGAGACUGCUGGCUUUAGUUUUAUCCGGCCAGCGACGCUUUUCGGAGGCGGAUGUGGUCAUCGAUGCAGCUUUGGAUGAAACUUCGAAAUGGGAUCAAGGUCCCCUCCUUAGAACCAAAGCCAAGCUUAAAAUUGCUCAAUCUCUACACAAGGAUGCAAUCGAGACUUAUCGUCACCUUCUUGCAUUAGUACAAGCUCAGAAAAAAUCUUCGGGACCUAAUGGAAACGAGCCUCAGCCGGAUGAUGAGAGUGUAAAUGAAUUUGAAGUUUGGCUCGGAUUAGCAACACUAUACUCUAGCCUUUCUCAUUGGAAGGAUGCUGAGGUAUGCCUCGGAAAAGCUCGAGCCCUGAAAGAGUACUCGCCAGAAACUCUCCACAUCGAAGGUGUUAUACAAGAAAAGCAAGGGAACAUCAACAAAGCGUUGGCUGCUUACAUCAACUCCCUCUUGAUCGAACCAAAAUACGUGCCAUGCAAAAUUCUGAUCAGCACCGCAUUGGCGAAGAUGGGGGAGAAAAUGCUACCUGCCGCAAGAACUCUACUUUCGGAUGCACUAAGGAUCGAACCGACAAAUUAUCUGGCCUGGUACAAUUUAGCACUCGUCCACAAGGCCGCAGGACGGCUAGUCGAUGCAAUGGACUGUUUCCAGGCAGCUUCAAUGCUCGAAGAAUCCGAACCUGUCGAAAGCUUCGGUUCCAUUCGAUGAACAUCGCCGCUCGUGCUGAUUCGGGAUCGCGUUCUUUAACUCUUUGCUAACUUGUAGCAUGCAGGUUGGUGUGGAAAUCGAAGCAUGACACGUGGAGGAAGGUGGUUGGUAAGGUGAGGAGGAAGCAUCUGGAAGCACACGUGUGGGGGAGUUGGCAGACAGCUGGCGAUGAUCGGAAUCCAGAAAUUCGUAAGCACUCACUCACUCUUUCUCUCUCUACUGGCGGCGCCUUUUGUCCUUUUCUGCCACAAUACUAUAGUGGAAUUUACUUGUUUUAUUUUGACAAAAAAAAUAUAGGUAUAUAAAUAAAUAAAAUGGAAAUAUUUUAAACUGAAAUUAAUAAUAAAAAUUUUGUAAAGAU